rnacentral:lncRNA from 1 species
UUAUUCCACCUGAAAUAACAUCUGAAAACAGCAGGGUCAAUGUGCAGCUUUAGGAAGUUAGCACUUCAUGACUAGAGGUUUACCAGGUGAUAUUGUACCUUGGUGUGAAUUGAUCCAAUUUUUAAAUUCUGACAAUAACGUGAGAUCAGCAACAUUGGAAGAGGAAGAAGCUGAUACAGAGAAAUGGUAAGGAUGGACAAAAUUUGGUAGCCUUGGAGCACUUGUUUUUGGAGGAAAUCUUAGAGGAGGAUUUCUUUUUUUCUUGAGGAUAAGAGUGCCAGGAGGUGAAGGAACUAAAGAGAUGCUUCAUCUAUCUACUUUGGCAAUUUUCUUUUUUUUUUUUUAAGAUUUAUUUAUUCAUUCAGAGAGAGCGAGAGAGAGGCAGAGACACAGGCAGAGGAAGAAGCAGGCCCCAUGCCGGAAGCCUGACGUGGGACUCAAUCCCGGGUCUCCAGGAUCUCACACCCCAAGCCGCAGGCGGUGCUAAACCUCUGCGCCACCAGGGCUGCCCCUACUUUGGCAAUUUUCAUCAUUCCAGCCCUGAGGACCCAGUCAGAGCCCAAAGAGGAAAACACUGGCAGAAAUCUCCAUGUUUAUAGAUGAAAAUCUUUGCACCUGAGUAAGUAUCUCAGUGACCAGAAUAGGGUUGGGGUGGGAAUAUUCACCUCAUUCCCUGACCUGUGAGUAAUCUAUUAAGUGUCUGGAGAUUUUGAACUUUGGCUGAUUUCUUUGGGUUGGUGGCUCUUCCAAAAGGACAGGACCAUAAUUUUAGCUUUGAUAGGCAGUGGUGGACAUUAAGUGUAUUUUUUGUUUGUUUGUUGUUUUCCCAAAGGUGUUGGAGAGCAGCCAAGACUAGGGUCUUAGGAAAACCUUAAGAAUUUAUUUUUCCUCUCUCAACCUGACUGGUUUCACCAAAAGGUCAGGAGUAUAUCAGAUCUACAGCUGGAUACAGCAUGCUCCCCACCAACACCCCCCAGCCCCCCAAAAGCCAUAGAAUAUAUUAGGCCAAGUUUAGCUAGUAGAUCUCAAGGGAAGAAGCAUGCACUAGGACUCAGAGGUACUGAGUGAGUUUCAGACCCUAUCUAUAAAAUGGGGAAGGCUAUAGUGGCCUCACAGAAUUGUGAGGAAGAAAUGAGAUACACUUUGUGAAAUGUGCUUUGUAAAUGCUAACAUACUUAACAAAUACGGGUUAUUUUUGGUUAAAAUGAAAUAUUGGACCAAAGCUUUAUUUGCUAUACUCCUCAUCAUCUCUUGAUCCAGGCGCUUAGGGCAAAUCUCUUGGCCCUAACGUCAAAUGUCAGAAAAGGUCCCCAUUGUGCUCUGUGACUUGCAAAACAAAUUCUUCAAGUAAAAAGGAAAAAAAAAAAAAGGAAAAAAAAGCAUUCUUUUUCUGUAUCCAGAGUCUGCAUGGAGAACAGUGAUAAAUCCAAUUAGUAGAUGUAUAAAGCUUUUUCAGUUUAAAAAUAAAUUUUUAAGAUUUUUUUUUACGUGUGCCUCAAAAUAAUACUUGGAAGGUGCUUUAAGACAGCGACAUGCCUAUUUGAUAAACAAGGAGGUAGGCUCAGAAUCAUGCAGCAUUUAAGUGAUAUAUCCAGGACCUGAAUGCAAGUCUUCUCACCACACAUCCCAGUCUUGCUGGUACUGUCCCCCAGACUAUACUGAACAGAAGGGUUUGCACGAAUCAGUCCCACUGUGUCAGGAAAAUC